AAAAAAAUAAAAAUUUGCAUUGGGAAUUGAACUUGCGUCUAUCAGGUUGUUAGAUUAUUUUGAACUCACCCCACCAGAAUUUAACUACCGAGAUAUGUGAAUGAAGUGAGAAGAUAUAGCAUCUAAUCGUUUUAAAAAUUUUUUGACAGUUGUUUAUUCCCUUAGUUUAAUCAAAUAGGUUUGUUUCUUGUGGAAUUAAAAUACGACAAAAUACAGACUAAAAAAGCAAUAUAUUAGAUGGAGAUUUUUGUUGGUAAAUCAAGGCAUUACCUACUAGCUAGGUAGGUACAUUUUCCAAAUAGGUAUUUAAUUUGUAAUUUUUUAUUACAAUACUGAAACAUUUACAAUAAGGUACGUACCUGUUGCUUUUAAAAACUAUUUAAAAAGUCACUACAAUAGUCAAAAACUUGCUUUUUGUCUCUGGCCUCACAACAAUAAAAAAUAAUAUACACAACAUUUGUUUAUGCAUAAUAUGCAUUUGGACAAUUAUUGACAGAAGAUUUUAACACCCAAUCAGAUCACGUAUAACGUUUGAGCGGCUAAUACCAUACUGUCGGUGUGCGCAUGCUCCCGGCAAAAUUAAAAUUCACCCUCGUGCCUAAAGAAGUAUAACUUCAAAAAUUCUUGAAAAAAUGCUUAUUUUUGGUCUUUUAAAGUGCACUAUUUAGUACCUUAACAAAUAUAAUUUUAUAAUAAUUGAAUGAAACACUAGAUUAUUUUACUGCAGAGUACAACUGAGAAACUAUUAUCUAUUAUAUUAACAUGAAAUACUACUAAAUCUACAGAGCUCUAAACUAAAUUUUAUGUAAAAUGUUUUUUUUAAAUAUUAUGUUUUUAUGAGAUUAAUACUUAAAUUAGACAGGCGACAAGAAAACAGUAUCACAAUCUUGUUUAUUUUACUAGAAAUCGCAAGAAAUUUGAAGAAAAUAUUUAAACAGAGCAUUCUCAUUUACUCAUUUCUCAUUAAGAGCAAAGUUGUUGGGUUGAAAUAUGAUAUCUUUGACCAAUAAAUUAUCUAUAUUACUACAUGGUAAGAAUUCUAUGCGGCAUUGAAUAUUUUUGUAUGUUUUACAUGUGUGAUUAUGCAAAACUAACAAAUACAGAUUAGGAGAAUUACCAUUAUGACGAAUUAGCAUUAGCACUAUUAUGACGAAUUUAAACAAUUAAAAAAUGAAUUUUCUAUUUUAAUAUUUUGCAUAACACCUAAACACCAGCAGAAGAAAAGCUCAUUCUGGCGCCCCCCAAACAGGGGCGCCCGCCUGCAGUGCAUCCCUUGCAGGCCCGUUAUCGCCGCCCCUGAACGUCAUCCGGAAACUGACCAGCUCAAACGGAAAACUCCGCCAGAAAAAUAUUGAGAAGACCAGACUUGGCUUGGCACUUUUUUUAGGCGAGCUAUUGUACUCAUCCUGUAUCGAGACCUCAGUUGACAUGAAUCAUGUUGAUGUUGGGAAGUUUUAGUAGCUAUUUGAAACCCACUUUAGUCCAGUCUUUAUUCACACUAGGUGGCAUAAUACUACCACAUGCAAGAAGAAAACUGGCAACUGAAAUCGAGAGGAAGGAAUAGAUAAUACAGUUGAAGCACUCGAUGUUCAUAUAUUAUAAUAUUACUGUGCCUCGUAUCGAGUCAAGCCACAAGACACAGUUUGAUUCAAAAGACUAAAUAGAACACCUCCGGACAGAACCAUUUAACAAAUCAGAAAAGGAGAGAAGGUUCCAGACAAUAUUUACCUACAGUCUAAGGAGUCACUGGCACCUGGACAUGACGACAACUGGAGAAUGCUCAAUAGACUCAGGAUCUCAAACUGCGUAAAUAACAGAGUCCAACGGAUAUAUGAUAUUGAUAGUCACUGUCACUGUAGAGUUUCUACAAAUAUAUGCAAUGAAAAACAGAUGGUACAAACUCUCUACCAAUGUUUCUAAGAGAAGUUUGUUAGGUAGAAAAAAACAAGUAAUCAAAUCCCAUCUUAGCUACCAAAGUUGGUUGGACAUGAGACACUUUUUAUGUUUGAAUUGCUUUAUUUUAUCCAACUUUAAAAUUUAUAUUAUUUACAGCAUACAUCAAAAUGUCAAAAUGUACUAAAAAUGUCUAAGGCGUAUAUCAUCAAUUCUUUUAGAUAGAAGUGUUGAAAAAUGAGGUAAGAGAUUGCGUUAAGUUUUUUCAAAAAUCGACAACACUUUUUUUAUUUUAUAAAACAUAUUGCUAUGGAUAUUUUAUAAGUUCAAAUUUACAAAAAAAAAUUGUCCAAAAAAUAGUAAAUAAAUCAAAAAUCCAAAAAAUAUAUUGAUAAUACAAAAUAAUUGUCACUAUUAUCAGUUCCUCGCGAAAUAAUUAAAGAAUGCAUAAUCAUCAGAGUGAAAGAAAUAGAAGAUAAUCUCUAGUUGCUAUAUAAAUCCAAUUAAAAUUGUAGAUCUUUUAUUUUUAUAUAUAAAUAUACCGUUGAACAAUCAUUUUUGCUUGAAUUAGUUUUUAAUUAUCUCACAAGUGUCGAGAAAACUAUAAAAGGAGCUAAAAUUAAAGAAAUUUGUCUUCCCUGAGAAUUAAAACCUGGCGGAUAUUGUGAGGAAAAGGUGGCAAGUAGGGUUCAAAACGAGUCAAAAAUUUUAUAAAGUUUUAAAACAAUACUAAUGUUUAAAUAAAGAAUACUUUGAUUAAGUGUGAUGAUGAUGAUGAUAAGUUGAUGAACAAAAUUUUUGCUAAAUGAGCAAGAUUACGACUGUUUCGUAAACCGGUCUUGGACGACUAUCAAGAAAAUGGUUCCCCUUUGUAGAUCAUGGGAAUGGUCUGACUAAAUCAAUUGAGACAGUAUGCCAAGGCUUUUCUACAGUGGAUGGAUGCAUUUUUUCUGCUGAUUGCAUUUGUGGUGGUUUAUACUGAAGGCACUUCCUAUAGAAUCUAACAUAGUCUGCAAUUUGUUUGAACAUCUUGGGCAAGUAGUAUUUUUGCGCUAUUGAGCAAAUAGCUUUCGCAAUUCCUAAAUGGCCUGCUGCAAUUUCUAAAUGGUCCAGUUUUGAUUCUCCUCCAAAAGUUUUUUCCUUUUAUAGCCUGGUACGCAUAAUUGCCAUGGAUUGUUAAAUUCCGGGUCUUCUAAAUUUCGGCUACUCCAUAUAUGUUUAUACGAUCUUCCGUUUAGUAUUUGUGAAUCAGAAAAUAUGUCUGGGUUUUGGAGGACAUUUCCAUAUAAAUUAUUCUACCAAUAGCACGAUUUUAAGGCUGAUGCUUACAAUUCCAGCUCUGGUUUUUCGGUAUGGGUUUCUUGUGGUUGCUGGAAUAGAGCAUCUGCUACCUUGUUGAGGAUUGAUUUCCUUUCUGUAUAUUACCUCGAAAUCGUACUAUUGUAGGUCUAAACUCCACCUGGCUAAACGACCCGAGGGAUUAUUAAGGCUCUUCAGCCAUUUCAACGACUGUUGGUCUGAUAUGACCUUAAAAUUGUAACAUUCUAUGUAUGGCCUCAUUUGUUUUAUUCCGUGUACGAUGAACAGACAUUAUUUUUUGUUUGUAGAGUAUCUUGUCUCAACCGGUGUGAGAGUUCGACUAGCAUAUGCGAUCACUUUGUAUUGACCGUCAUACUUCUGAGUUAACUCAACCACAAGUUCUUAGUUUGACGUAUCUGUUUACAGGUAAAAUGUUUUGGCUAUAGCGCUGGUUUUCUCCGAAUCGGUUUUUAUUCCUUUCAAGUAUAUGAGUUCUGGCCGGCAAAAUGUACAUUUUUCGAAGUUUCGCUGUAAUCUAGCAACUCACAGUUUUCUUCAGACUUCUUGUAGGUAAAUGAAAUACUCUUGGAGCGUCUUCGGUAUUAUCGCGAUAUCAUUUAUUUCUGGUGAAUGCAAAUUCUAUGUAUAUCGGAGGAUGAUAUUACUUUAUCCAAUGGACGUUGUAAAGUUGCUCCAGGCUAAAUGGGGUGCUUCUAAAUUGAAAGUGUACGCCAAAUGCUGUUUCUGGACAGCUUGUUUCUUCCAAAAGGGUAUUUGGUCGAUUUACCAGUUUCUAUUCUUAUCUUUUCUCCAAGAGGUUGAUGGGUGUGUCAUUAUUAUAUCAUCAUUAUUAGUCGGUGGCCUUUUCCAACAUAAAUUUUUUGUCCUGUACGUAGAUAAGCUUUCUAUGAAAGCUUAACCACUGAUUUUAAUACUUUAAUUUUGCCAUCGUUUUUGAACUGAGUGUCCUGUCAACCAUUAAGAAAUGAAGUAUACAAACAAAAGAAAUUAAUAUUUUUUACAACAGAAUCGAUAUUUGAAGACAUAAAUGGUCAACAUUUAUGUUUACAAACAUUGAAAAUUGAUUAUUUCUUUUUUUGUUUUGGUUUUUGGUAUUGGUUGGGGAUCUUUCGUCAAAAUUGAUUAUUUAAAAACAAUAAAACUCUUUCAAAAUUAGCCCAAGUCACUGUCACCCUUUACCUACUUGCACUCUCUUCCGCACAAUUUAGUAGUUAUAUGUGUAGCCUUAAUAGAAAAAAAAAUAUCAGGAUGCGUUGCUGCAUUUAAAUUUGUAUCAAAAUUUGAAAAAAAUUUCGAUUUUUAUAAUACAUAAUGACGUGUUUAUAUAGAUAUGAUUAUAUAUCAAAACAAAGUUAAUUAACAAUAGAGCAAUUUUUGGCGUGAAGGGAAAGAAUAUUAUAAGGAAAGUUUGAAAGAAAAGUUUGGAAAAACUUAUUUAUCGCAAAAGUAAUGACAUAGUUUGGAACAUAGUUGGAACCUUCAGAAAACUAAAAACGACAAGAACAGCUCUUCGUCCUGGAUCUUAGAUAUUUUGAACAGCUCUGUCGACUCUAAUCUGAGUUUGUGUGUGGCAAGGCUUUCCAUGGAAAAUUUUCAGUGCUGGUCAAAGCUUUUAAAAUCCUAUCACAACAUUAUUGGCAAAUUUAUAACCAUUGGGAGGGUCUAAUGCAGAUUAAGCAGUACUCUGUAAUAUCGAUUCUAGGUACUUAAAACUAUUACUUUUCACAAUCAUUUUACCAUCAAAAUAUAUCAUUUUAUUUGUAGUAACUCCAUGUUUAAAUGGACAUUCCAAUUACUCCGUUUUUAUCCUACUAAAUUUUAAAACUUUUUCCUUAAGAGCUUGUGUCCACUGUUUCAGUUUUUGUUCUAAGUCGUUUUCACUAUUUCGUACUAACACUACAUCAUCAGCAUAUCUACAGCACCCUGGAAUGUUACCUUGUAGUUUCGCUGUUAUCUGGUCCAAAACUAAUGAGAAUAAGUAAGGACUAAGCGCCGAGCCUUGAUGCAAUCCUAUUUUCACAUGAAAAUCCAGUCUCUCUCACACUUUUUAAGUCCUAGUUGUCUCUCCCUAACAUAUCCCUCUCACAAACUUUAUAUAUUCUCCAGGGACUCCUUUCUAACUGAGUGCCCACCUCAGAAUCUCUGGAGGAACUCUGUCAUAUGCUUUCUCAAGAUUAAUGAACAUCAUACAUGCGUUUGUUUCUUUAUUCCUGUAUUUUUCCAUCAACUGCCUUAGCCGGCUACUGACGAUACUAUGGAGUCGCACUAUCGUGAGUGGCCGGUUUUUAUAAUGAAAAUUGCAUCUGUUGGUCUACCUUGCAUAAAGUCUAGAUGAUUUGGCAUCGUAUAUUUCGGUUUCUUCAAGUAUCCGUUUUACCACGUCUAGUAGCAAAAGAAGAAAUUUCGCAAUGUUUUCAGCUAUCUGAUCUCUCUCUUCUCCUUUCCCCAUUAAAGAGGAUCGUGAAUUCUUCUAAUAUUUUUAACAUUUUUUUCAUUGGUCUCUCUCUUCAGCUGCUCUAAGAGCUUCGCAAAAUGAGUUUCCAGCUGAAUUCUUAAUUUGGUCGGACCAUCUAGUUGGUGAUCGUCCUCUUGAUCUUCUCACCGUAACGUUUCCAGAAACAAUUAAUCCCUCCAAACUAUCGUCACCUCUGCGAACCACGUGACCGAAGAAUUGCAGAAUUCGUUGCAGACAUAUUGUGAACAGCCUUUUUUUUAAACUCGAGUUGUCGAGUUGGUUUAAAAUGGAAACGUUUGUCCCAUGAGCUGUCCAAGGUAUGCGCAGCAUUCUUCUCCAGCACCACAUCUCAAAGGCAUCAUUUUUUUUGCGCUCGCUUGCGCGAAGAUUCCAAGUCUCUGCUCCGUAUAGAAAUAUUGAGAAUACAAGGGGCAUUCACCAGUCUCAUCUUGAUAUUUUGAGAGAGAUUUGUCUUUCCAAACUUUAGUUAGGCGACUCAUCGUAUUUUUUGUUAUACCAAUACGUCUCCGAACUUCUGCUUCACAGUUACCAUCAUUAGUUAUACUAGACUCGAGAUAGACAAAGCUGUUUACGAUCUGGUAUUCGUGUAACAUGUUAGUCAGUUGAAUAGUGUGGAAUCUAUCGACUACCAUUAUUUUUGUCUUAGCUUUAAUGAUUUUCAGACCUACUUUAUUGCUUUCGUACUCAACUCUUUGCAGGAGAUCAAACAUUUCUUGCUCAUUUGAUGCUAUAAGUGUAGUGUCAUCAGCAAAUCUUAAAUUGGAGAUUUUCCUACCAACUACUUUUACUCCAUCUGCCCAUCCUUCUAAUGCAAUCCUCAUGACAUGUUCACCAUAAAUGUUGAAUAAGUCAGGUGACAACACGCAUCUUUGUCUAACACCUGAUGGUGUUAGACAAGGUAUGCAUCAGGUGUCUGAUACUAGUCUAAAAAAUGUGCCAUUGUGGAUGAUAAUUUAACAAUUUUUUUAUAUAAAAGAACUUAAUACAUAUGUAUUAACAUAGUUUUUUAACAGAUGUUCCAUUUUCGUAGCAACUCAUCCUGAAAAUUCGUAAUUAGAUUAAAUUGUGUCUUAUCUCAAAACAGGAAUUACCUAGAUCUCUUAUUGAUUUUGAUUUUAGCAAAAUAUUUAGAGGUGAAACAAUUGUUUUGAUAGUAUGUACUAUAUAAAUAUUUACGUGAAUCUUAUUUUCGAAACCUUGCGUUGAAAAACUUUUAUAAUAACAUAGUUAUCGAUGAGUGAGCAUUUAAUAUUAUAUUUUACUUGAAAAUGUCUUCAAAUUGUCGUUUUAUUUUGUUGAAAUGCAGAAAUGCGAAAAAUAUUGUUACUCCCGGAAAAAUCAAAAAAUCAUAAAGUUAAUAAUUAAACGUUGAAGACUAUAUGAACUAGAUUAGAAGUAUUUGUGACAGUACAAAAAGAUUUUAUUUUUACUGCCGUAUUUUAAUGGAAAACUGACAGUCUCAAAUCAAAUUUUUAUAAAAUUUAUUUGCAUGGAAUCAUAAUCAGAUACAGAAACAAUUCUUCUUCUUCUUCUUCUUGCAGUACCAUCUCCUAUAGGAGGUUAGCUACCAUCACAGCAAUCUUAAAUUUGUUGGCUGCAGCUCUGAACAAUUGUAUUGAACUUCACCCGUACCGCUCCCUUAAAUUUCGCAACCAGGAAAUCCUCCUACGUCUCACAUUUCUCUUUCCCUAGAUUUUUCCUUGGAUUAUGAGCCUUAUCAUGGAGUUCUUUUCCCCUCUCAUUAUGUGGCCUAGUUAUUCCAGUUUUCUCGUUUGUAUGGUUUUUAUUUAUGACUUCCCCAUCUUCAGCAAAAUAUCUUGAUUUGUUACUCUCUCUGUCAAUGGUAUUUUCCACAUUCUGCUGUAGCACCACAUCUCGAAUGCCUCAAUGUUUUUGAUGUUUAUCUUUUUUAGUAUCCAAACUUCCAUGCCGUACAUCAGAACAGAGAAAACAUAGUACCUUAACAUGCUCGUUCUCAAUUUCAGAUUUAUGUCUCGGCAGCAUAGGAACUUUUUCAUUUUGAUAAAUGAUUGUAUCGCUAUUUCUAUUCGCCUCUUAACAGAAACAAUAAACCGUGUAAAUAGGCUGGCUUUCACCCCAGUCGUUCUCUGUUUGAAGGUAUUCCUUAUUCAAUACCUCUUAAUACCUGGUGUAAAAAUGUGCUCUGAAAAUAUAGAAUAGAAAUUAGCUAAAACUGGAAACUGUCCAUCGCAGAUGUAUUCAUGGUAAAGUGCCUAGCGCCAUCUAUUAGAUCUUACACAAAUGGAAAAACAAUGAAACUCUUCUCUUUCACUUCAUGGAGUUGGUUUCAUCUUCGAAACUUGAAUGUUCAUAAAUGCUAUUUUGGAUUCUAUGAUUGGUUUGUCCCAUGUAAUAUUGGGGGAAAUUGGCACAAGUAAUUUCAUAAACUCCGUGUUUCUCAUUUGGAAUGUUGUUUACAAGAAAUGGAAGUUUUUGAUGAGCGGUCGAAACAUUGUCUUUAUAGCUCCUGAUUCGAGGAUUUUCACGUAAGGAAGAAAAUUCAAAUGGGUCAUGGUGCUCUUUGGUAAUUAAGAUGAAAAGAUGAAAAGAUUUGAUUCCAGUUCAGUGUCUCUUCACAGGUGCUCUGAAGAGGAUAAGGUUAAUCCGAAUUACGUAUAAACACAUAGUGGAGGCUCAGUACUGUAAUCAAAUCUGAAUCAUCUUUACUUUUAUUUUAAGGAAGAAAAGCUUUCGUAUGAUCGGGGUCUUAGUCUUUGGGUUUAUAUUGAGCGGGAGAUUGAAUCUUGUGGAUGCUGGAUGGGUAACCAUUUUUAAUGAGGGCUUGUUUUAAAGAAGAGAGUGCAGUGAAUCUAUUUCAUCAUAGUAAAGGCAUAUUGAUCUGAUGAUAGGGGUAUUAUUGACUGAAUUAAUUUGUGAAGGUGGCUGAUAAGAGUUACCAUGCAAGUAACGGUUGGUAUAGAUGGGUUUUCGGUAAACAAAGUAAUGAAAUCCUUGGGAUUGGUUUUUCCUUGUGAGAACGUGGAGAGGCGGUAGGGAUGAACUGGGUAGUAGCAUGUAUACCAUUCAGAUGAGGCAUGAGGCAUUCUUGCUUUGAGAUUAAAUGACGAAUGUAUCAUCAACAUAUCGUGGCCAACAUGUAGGUUUGAGCACUGAUACGGAUAGUGCUCAGGUCUCGAAGUCUUUCAUAACGAUUACCAAUUUCUGGGGAGAGUGGGGAGCCCAUUGGGGCACCAUUCAUUUGUCUGCAGAAUUGAAAGUGGAAGACGAAAGAAAGUAUUGGAUAUGCAGCGUUUAAUGAGCGAUAAGUCGUCUUGCUGGAUACUGUAUUUAGUUUCCAAUCAACUCUCUUCAUUGGUAAAUCAAUGACGGCUGCACAAACCAAAGUGGAGUCAGGAUUUUAUAGGCAUCUAUGUAGACAGAAAAAUAAUGUUGCUGUGUCUCCUAGAUCUCGAGAAAUUUUAGCACUAUGAGUUUGCUAUGGAAAGAAAAUUUUAAGAAGUUGGUUAACAUUGUCUUACAUAUUUCCUUUUUGUGAGCCAUGAGGGAGGAACAUUAUAAUCGUUAUAAAGAACUGAUAAUACAUUUUUUCAAUGGAGAUAGAUUUGCUUUUUUUCAAAAGUAAAUUGGUACAAGUUGAGAAAAGGUGUUGGUAUUUUGGUGUUGGAGUUGUAGCUUUUUGAGUUUGCUGGUAUCUUUACCCCGCGUAAUUGAAUCACAAAAAUCUAAUGUCUAAAGUAGUUUUGUUGUAUUCAAUGUAUAAGCCUUCCACCGUGCUUAUUCUGUACGCAUCAAGGGCAAAUUUUAAGACUGUGUUGUGGAUAUAUCUAAUCGUUUUAAUGCUUUUUUUUUUCGCUUUUACUUAAAAGUUUCAUUUUGUGUUCCUUAACGUUUCAGUUGAAUUAAUUUUUGUUUCUUCAAUAUAGGAAGGAUUCUUUCGUUGUGCUAUAGCGUCCCAUAAUAUAAAGUCUAGUUUACAUCACUUAUCAUAUGUUUUAGCUCGCAGUCAUAACAAAAAAUAGAAAAUUCUAUACAUUGAGAAUAAAUAAUAUAAGUCCACAAAAAUGAUUGUAAUCUCCAUCUAUCGGUAAUAGAUCUGUAUACAAAAAUGCCUUCUAUGAAAGCUUUGGUUGUAUAUAGAUACAUACUACUAAAAUUAAAAUAUUUAAAACUGACAUAUUCAUUUGGAGAGGAUAUUUGUUUUUUUUUUAAUAUAGAUUUUGUUGACACAUUUUUUAAAGAGCUUUAAAAACUUUUGUCUAGUUCUUUAUAUAACCUAAAAACCCUCUUUCACUGGAUAACAAUAUUUUUCGUACAAUAAAAUCUAUACAGGGCUAUUAUAUACGAAAACAAGGAUUAUUAAAAGCCUUAGAUUGUGUAUGUACCAAUAUGUAAUUAUUGUUAUUUUUAUCAGUUGUCUAAACUGACUGGAUAAAAAUUUUAUUUGAACACAUUUUUGAAAAAGUUAAUGUAUGUGGGUAAUGGAAUACCGAUAUAAAAGAUAUUUUAUUGAAAAAUUCAGCCGACUUUUUAAAGUUGGAAGAAUGAUAGAUAAUAGACAAAAGAAACUGCAGCAAAAAAAUUACAACUGAGAAUGUUUAAAAGAUGCUACCGAAAUAAACAGAAAAUCAAAAAUAGUAUUGCUAAUAUGGCUAGUAAAGUUUGCCAGUCAAAAAAAACUUGAAUAGGUAGGAAUGAUUUAAGAAAUAUUGAGGUGCAAGAAGGGCCAGUGACGACAAAUUGAUAUAGAAAAUAUCAGAAUGAAGUUUUGUAUGUAAAAAAAUGAGACUUCAGAGGAAAAUAUUGAAUAAAGGAACAAUGAUGUUAUGUUAUACGAGAUUCUUGAUAUUAUCAAUUCCUUGCGACCAUAAAAGACUUUACCACAAACUGAAAACUACAUUUUCUUUAAUAUAAUAAUUAUAGAUAUUGCAUUAGAGUUUUUAUUUAGUUAAAACAAUUUUAGGCAACUGAUAUUCUUAAUUUCAAGCGACCAGAGAAUAAUUCAAAAGAGAAAGAAAGAAAAGAUGAAUAGAUUCAAGAGAUAUAAGCUUAUAAUAUAACAUUACAUACAGGAGAUAACGGUAAAAUCAAAAGCGCGGUUCUUCUCUCUCUCUCUCUCUCUCUCUUUCCUAUGGCGCUACAGAUCAAGUCCGACCCUGGCUUACCCCAGAAUCCUCUUUCAGGUAUCACUUUCCCUGGCUGCUCUCCUCCAGUUAUCCAUCAUCAAUAUCUCUUUAGUAUCGUUUCUCGCUUCGUCUAUCCACCUCUUCCUAGGCAACCAAAUAACGUUUACGAAACGUUGAAAACCCGUCAUAAUUAUCACCAAACCACGUCAGUUUAUCACGUGUUUUAGAUGUCGAAAGUCACGUGAAUAUGUCCCACCACAAUUGACGUCAUUUUUAUCACCUUUUAAAUACGUGAUAUCAGAAACGUAGCUUUUGUCGUUUUUUAGAUUAUGUUUCAUUUUAUGGUUUUAAAGAUACACAAUAAUUAUUCGCAUGGGCAUUGUUUUUGGUGUUCCUACUGGCCCACGUCGUACCAUAGUUCUACCAAAUACUAUGGACUGUAAUACAUACAACUCUUGACAUUUCCCAUUACAUUUGAGGAAGCAAAAAAAUCUACGGUGAUAACCAGAGCAAUCUAACCUUACAUUUAUAAAAUUGCUUUAUUAUUGUUUUUGUAUAAGUGUUUGAACUAUUUUUAUUUUAAUUUGAUUUAGCAAAAUUAGCUUGUUAUUCGAAAAUUUAUAAAAUUAAAUUUGAAUGUUUACUUCAAAUUUUACGUUAUCACAACGUAGUUUCACCGCAAGCCGGCAAGAUUUCUGUGUAAGUUGGAUGUAUUACAGUCAAUAGUAUUUGGUUCUACUAAGCGUUCUACUAGGUGUUCUUUUAGUUACAACUAAAUAAUUUUUGUUUAUAAAAAUAUCUAUCAUAGGCUUGAUUAAUUAGAGUUUUUCCAUUUCUUGUGCCAUGUUUUCCAUUUUUUGAAGUAGUUAAGACAGAUUUUGUUUUUCCAAAUGUGACAUUACUCUGCCUUUUAUUGUGUUUCAAAAUUAUGGUCGAGUGUGCAUUAUUCUCAGGAUUGCUUCAUGCGUUAUUCUACGGAUACAGCUUACGCUUAAACUUAAUCUUAAAGCAACAAUAAAAAUCAAAAGUAUUCAUACAAUAAGAAUGUCAAAAGAAGAUGAGUAUCCGGAGAUAUCCAUUCUUUAAAACCUCUAAUAUCUCUUGGGCAGGUCCAUCAGCAACCAUUUUGUUAAAACAUUGAAUAUAUUGAAACAAUUUUACAAAAAUGCGUCGCCUGAAGUUAAAAACCAACAAAUAAAUUAGUUUAAAAUGAUUUCUUCGAAAAAAAUUGUUACAAUCAAUUUUAGUACAAUCAUUUAAGUACUUAGGCCUUUUUACUAACGUAUGUUUUUGCUCAAGUAGUAAUCUACUUUGUUAUACUUUCUUAUUAAGAAGUAAGCCGAUAAGUUGUAAGAUUUUUUCGUAAAUUUUGUAUGCAAAAAUCAGAUAGGUUAUUUAUAUUUGUUGCAAAAUUAUUAUAAACAUUUAUAUUUUUAAGAUUCCUUGUAAAACUACCACUAAAUAUACAUUUCUUUGAAUAUUGAUCGAUUAUUUUAAGUCUCGAGUGGUAAAUAUAGAAAUUCCCGAGAUCUAAAAAAAUUUGCUCUCACGUGAUAGAAAUACGGCAUUGCGAUUGGUUUAAAACGUCGGAACUUCAUCAAUUUGUCCCUAAGUAUUCUAAUUUUUUAAUAAUUCCAUUUGAACAAUUACCGUUAUGUCUUAUGUGGUAUAAAUAACGGAAAAAUUGUAACGAGUGCAAAAAUAAAUGUCGUUAAAGCUGUUAAUAAGUAAUGAAUGAAAUUAGGAAUAAAAUAUUACCUUUUUUUCAUUUUCAUCGAAAGGAUUCGGUGAAAUUUUACCUAUAUUAAAUUUACAAUCAAGAUGCAGUAGAAAUAAACAAACCAGGAUACGUUAAAUGCUACUAGGAGCACGAAUCAUAAUUUACAAUGUAUAAACUUUGGAAAUCAUUAUUUGGGAUUUACAAUGUAUAUACACUGUAAAUUAUGAUUCGGGAUUGUUCCAAGUAGCAUUUAACGUGUCUUGGUUUGUCUAUUUCUACUGCAUCUUGAUUGUAAAUUUAAUAUAGAUGAAUUGACGGCUUGUGGAAUGAAAUCUAAGAUUCCCAUAGUCUGCUUUGUUCAUUGUUCGUUUGCCUUGCUAAUUUUAGAAGUUACGAAUUCAGGUUGUCACCAGAAUCUUGGUUCCAACCAUAGAUGUUUCAGAUUUUCGGAUCUAAGACCUCUCAUUGUUUUAAAUAGAUGUCGCUACAGCCUCUACAAGCAAAAUAUUUUAUUUAAUUUUGAUUAGUAAGACAGUUGGUUUUCGUUAUGAUUCAGAGCAGACCACAAGCCUCCCUGAAGAUCCCAAAAGGGUGAAACGCACCUAAGAGGAUGGUGGUUUUCAUUAUCUUUUAAUAAGUCUUGUUAACGUAAAAAGAUACAAAAGAUCUUAUAAACAAUAAAUUAAGCCUUCAUCAACACAAAGUUUUACUAGCAUCUUUAUAGUCCGAGAUUUAUAAUAAUUUUGCAACACAUCUAUGUUAAAGGUCAUGUAUAAAGUAAACGAAUAGAAGAAAAAUAUUUCGGAGCUCCGCCAUUUUGAAAAUUCAAGCUUCAUAGAUUUCAUGUUAUACAAAGUAGAAAAACCAGCUUUUAUAUGUGGUGAAUUGCAAAAAUCGUUCGGGGUUCUUGAGGUAUUCUUCUUCGUUUUUACAGUUGAUGCAAGUAGUAUUAAAGAGAUUGAAAUUUUAUUGAAAGUUAUUAUCCCUGCUGGGUCUUAAGGGUACGAUGAUAUUUUGGGCCUUAAAUUGACUAUAUUGGCUAAAAGUUUUUGUAAUAUUUAAGCUAUUUUUAUACAUUACUAAUAAUUAUUUAAACGUUGGCAUAAAAUAUAUUCAUUUAACAUGCUGCUUUACAUAGUCUGCCUACAGGGUAAUUACCCUCCUAAUAUUGGCCUAUAUCCUUUAGGAUCGACAUCAACUAUCGGGAUAUUGUGAAAGCACAUUAGGCAAGUACCGGAGUGGCUUUCGCAAAGAAAAAUCAACUAUGCAUCAAAUAUUCCUUCUAAAACAAGUUUUGGAAAAAACAUAUGAGUAUAUAAUUGAUACUUACCAUUUGUUUGUGGAUUUUAGAUGUGCCUCUAGAUGACAGUGUAGACAUAAACGCACUAUACAAAGCUAUGGUAGAAUUCAAUAUCUCAAUACAGUGAAAUUGAUGAAAUCGAACCUAUCAACAGUAGAGUGUAAGGUUAGAGUGCAUAACGGAGUAUCAAGAAUUUUCCAGAUACAAAUAUUACUUCGACAGGGGGAUAGCCUGUCGUGCCUUCUAUUCAAUAUUGCCCAGCUCUUAGAGAAUCGGGAGUAACAACAACCAUUAUUAAUAGGAUAUUCUUAGAAGACCUGGUCCAAUCGUUCACGGCAUUGGAAGCAGCAGCAAAAAGAAUGGGGCUACACUUUAUUACUAUCUAUGUAUAUAUCUAUCUAUCUAUCUAUCUAUCUAUCUAUCUAUCUAUCUAUCUAUCUAUCUAUCUAUCUAUCUAUCUAUCUUUCUAUCUUUCUAUCUAUCUAUCUAUCUAUCUAUCUAUCUAUCUAUCUAUCUAUCUAUCUAUCUCUCUAUCUAUCUAUCUAUCUAUCUAUCUAUCUAUCUAUCUAUCUAUCUAUCUAUCUAUCUAUCUAUCUAUCUAUCUAUCUAUCUAACUAAUUAGCCUUCUACGGUCCAUCUCUGGACAUAGGCCUCCCCAAUCCUUUUCCAUUCUUCUCUGUCUGUUGCUACAGUUAUCCACCUAGAGCCCACGUGCUUCUUGACAUCAUCUGCCCAUCUCAUUUGUGGCCUUCCUCUGCUUCGUUUAUAUUCCCACGGUCUCCAACUUAUGAGAAUUUUGUUUCAUCGGUCUUAUUUUUGUCUUAAAGUGUGUCCGGAAAAUCUCCAUUUCAACUAUGCAACUUCUUGUCUAACAUCUUUAACUUUGGUUUUCUCUCUUAUCCACUCGUUUCUCUUUUUACCCAUUAGUCUUAUCUGCAACAUUUGUCUUUCCAUUGCUCUUUGCGUUUUUGUGAUCUUGUCCAUGUUUGCUUUCGUAAACGUCCACGUUUGGGAACCGUAAGUGAGAACAGGGAGUACACAUUGAUUGUAUACCUUGGUCUUAAGAUGUUGUGGAUAUCUUUUGUUUUUAAGGAUGUAGCUUAGUUUUCCAAAUGCCGCCCAUGCCAGUCUAACUCGUCUUUUGAUCUCUGCUGUUUGGUUUUCCUUGUUAAGUUUUAUAAUUUUGACCCAGAUAUAUAUAAUGGUGAACUUGUUCUAUUUCAUCUUGUCCUAUCCUCAUUGUAAUGUCCUCAUCUGUAUUUGUUAUGAUUUUGGUCUUGCUGCAAUUCAUAUUAAGGCCUAUCUUUCCGGCUUCUAUGUCCAGUUCUUUCAUCAUUUCAAACAAUUCUUCUUUUUAUCGGUUUUCAAUACGAAGUCAUCGGCGUACCUUAGGUGGUUCAAGCGUUGUCCACAAAUUUUUAUACCUUUUUCUUCCCAUUCUAAUCUUUUAAAGAUAUUUUAAAGAAUAGAAAAAGCCAGAUCCAUAUUCACUAAAAUGAAGAGAGUGUUCUGUGGAAGAGGUUUGAGCCUUGAAAUGAAACUUCGCCUGAUGAGAUGUUACGUACUUUCUGUGCUGUUCUACGGAAUGGAGUCAUGGACGCUGAAAAAGAUUGAUAUCAAAAAAUUGGAGGCAUUUGAACUAUGGAUGUAUCGCAAAAUCUUGAGAAUAUCAUGGACGGAGAGAGUCACAAACGUCGAGGUCUUGAGAAGAAUGAAUAAAGAAAAGGAAGUCAUAUUUACGAUCAAAAAACGAAAACUGCAAUACUUGGGACACAUUACAAGAGGCGAAAGAUAUGAACUGCUUCGAAUAAUUAUGCAGGGGAAGAUAGCAAGAAAAAGAUCCAUAGGAAGAAGACAAAACUCCUGGCUAAAGAAUCUACGGGAAUGGUAUAGCUGUAGCAACAACGAAUUGUUUCGGUCAACAGUUUCGAAAAUACGUAUAGCCCUGAUGAUCGCCAACCUUCGGAACGAAGAUGGCACUUGAAGAAGAAAGAUAUUUUCCAGAGCCUGAUUGAACAGUUUCGGUGAUAUUGUGUCACCCUGUCUUACUCCUCUAUUUAUUUGAAUUGAUUGUGUUCCUUCGUAUACUUUAAUUGUUGUUGUGGCUUCUUUAUAUAUAUUGGCUAUUAGGUCUGUAUAUGUGUGGUCAAUUCUGCUGUUAAUCAAAGAACUUUUCACUGCCCAAUAUUCGACACUGUCAAAAGCCUUUUCGAAAUCUAUGAACGCUAUAUUUAGAGGGAUGUGGUAUCGUUAUUACUAGUAAGACUAAUUAUAUGAAAGUGACAAAUAAUAAGCAAGUAGCAACCCUCAAUGAAGAACUUUUAAGCUAUUUGGAACGUAAAAUCCUCAGAGAUAUUUAUAAAUAAACGAAUUAUGGCCUAGGAGCUGUAAUUUUGAGCUUUGCUGCCUUUAUAGUGAACAUCGUAUUGGUAGGUCCAUCAAAAUAAACCGGCUGCGGUGGCUAGGCCACUUAGAGAGAAUGGACGAGUCGGGACCAUCGAAACACAUUUAUAACCAAGGACGGAUCGAGUAAGGAGAGGAGGCAGAUCCAGAGCACGAUUUAAAGACCAGGCGAAAGACGACUUAAAUCAAGACGAAGCAUAGGAAGGAAUGAAACCUAAUUCUAGAACAGACCAAAACACACUAUGCGUUGAACCAAUGAUGAUGAUGAACAUGUUGCUUUAUUUUGUUCACAAUAUUGCUCUGCUAUUACCUUUAUUCCGAAAAUUAUUAAUCUUUUGAAAUUUAAUUCCGCAAGAAGAAAAAUAUGCAUACCUACUUUUAUAUUCUCUGAAUUUGCACUGAUAAAAAAUAAGACGACAGAGAUAUUAAUUGAUAUAUUGUAUGUAAGAAGGUUUAUGGAAUAGAUGUCAAUAAAGUGCAAACGACGAAGAAGAUCUAAGAAAACUUGGGGAGAAGGAAUAAGCAAGGUGAUGAGUGAAAGUGAGUCAAUGCAAUCUGACAGAGAUCGUAUCUAUUUGGAAAUGACAGUACUUCUGUAAUUUUUUUUUAUUUUUCUUUCUAGAUUUCCAUCUAGUUCUUUUUACUUUUCUGAAUGAUUUUAUAUUUUUCUAGGCUUUGGUCAAUGAAUUUCAAUGUCUCUUGUAUCACCCACACUUUAUUUCUGUAGUUUGGUUAGAUAUUUACUCCUAAAAAAACUGAAAAAACGUUUACUGAAAAAACGUAGAUGCAUGAAAGGCUUAAAAUAAAUGUGAACAAAAUAGAAGGAAACUGUACAGAUAAACAAGAUUAUGUAAUAUGAGGUACUGGAGAUUUAAGAAACAACUUUGAAGAAUGUUUUUUCGACGAUUUUUUUUUAUAAAAUGAUAUCUAAAAUGUACUCCCAUUAUAAAAUGUGUUUUUCAAUCAAAUUCCAUUCAAAUCAACAAAAAAUGAUAUAAUUUGGUAUUUACUUAGACAGUUUUCUAAGUGUACUACAUUUUAUAGCACUCUUCAUCGAUAAUAAUUUUUUGUUUACUGAUGUGUAGAGAUAAAUGCGAUGAAGUAGUACACGUUUUUUUUAGUGGUAAAUUUUCGAUUUCACUUAAAACGAAAUGAGAUCAUACAAGAAAAUACUUUCUAGUUUAAAAGAAUAUCUGAACAGAAAAUUAUAUUUUACGGCAGAAAUUUAUCAAAUAACACAUUUUACAAUAAAAUGUACACCCUAAGAGUUGUGACAAAAACGAACAAAAUAUUUAAUUAUUUUCAAGGCGAAAAAGGCUAAUAACAAGAAACAAAGAUAAGUAGAGUUAAUUAGUAAGAACCCAAUAUGAUUUGGAAAACUGAUAGGGGGUAUCCUCUAACUGAUUCUGCGGAAUUCUGCAGAAUUGUUUUCUUGGGAUAUUCAUCUGUAUCUUUUGUCAAUAGAGAAUUUCGGGUCUGUAUCUACUAUCUGGUAACCAUCUGCAGUGUUUAUGGUCUGGUUUCGCCUUGACGUAUAUGGAUGAUUAUAUUUUAGUCAUUUUAGACCAACAUGCUGAUACUUCAAUUAAAAAUGUAUUAGAAAACCAAUGUUUAAUACUACGUAUGCUUUUUGUUGUUAUUAAUGGUAUUAUUAAUUGCUUUUAAGACCCAGCAGGUUUCCCCAAAAAACAAGAUUUAUAUAACAAAGCCUGCAAAGCGUUAUGUAAACAUAAUUGGUACAUAUCGAAUUAAAAUAAAUAGGAUGCGAAACUA